rfam:Smithella sp. SCADC Smithella_SCADC_Contig_63, whole genome shotgun sequence.
CGCACGUCAUGGCAACACGGAGUGUGAUCGGGCAGGAGUCAGCAGAGGCCAUACCAGGC